rnacentral:rRNA from 1 species
UACGGAGGGGGCAAGCGUUAUCCGGAUUCACUGGGUUUAAAGGGUGCGUAGGAGGGCAGGUAAGUCAGUGGUGAAAUCUCCAAGCUUAACUUGGAAACUGCCGUUGAUACUAUCUGUCUUGAAUACCGUGGAGGUGAGCGGAAUAUGUCAUGUAGCGGUGAAAUGCUUAGAUAUGACAUAGAACACCCAUUGCGAAGGCAGCUCGCUACACGAAUAUUGACUCUGAGGCACGAAAGCGUGGGGAUCAAACAGG